UUUUGUCAUCUGAGCUGUGAAAAGCAAAGCAGAGAAGUGAGAACACUGUUUGGAAACGCAUUAGUGAUCAGGGAUGUAUUGCUCCGUGUUUACAGCCUGGCCUUUAAAGUGUGCAAUGACAGCUGCACGAAGGAAAUGUCUGAUAAAAGAUCACUUUAUUUCAAGACAACACUGUGAGGCUGUACCAAAUAUAAUGAGUAGGAAUGGACCAUAGGCUGAAGGCUCCUAUUCCUUACCAUCACAUUGGACGUGUAUUACUCAGCCAGCAGGCUGCCAGGACACUUUGGGGAUCACCGUGGGACUCUCCUUGGGUAAGUCCUUGCCCUUAAAUAGCUUCACCCUGGCACAGAUGGAAGCUAUGCUUGUUCUUUCCAGGCUUUUCCCCCAGGAUGGAGCUGAGUCAGUGCCAUCAGGGCAUCCUUCACACUGAGCCAUGAGCAGGUGAUUUAAAUCCCGGUGGUAAGUGAAUGGUAAAUUAGAAGCAGCUACUUCCCUUCCAGGGGGAUGGUAAUUUUUGCAAGGUUGGCUUGGAAGAGAAUUAAAGCCUCCCCAGAAAUAUAAAAGGACAGCCACAGACAUGGAGUAAGAUGUUUCAGGAAUGGUUUAGAGGGUGGAUGAUGGAAUGGAGAAGUGUUUCCUGCUUGUUCCCGUGUCUCCUGAGGCUGUGAUUCCUGCACAGGGAGAGAGGCUCAGGCUAAAACCUCACCCAGAAAAUGUAGAGGUCUUCAGCCUCCGACAUGAGAUCUAUGCUCUUUGCCCUGGAUUACACACAGAACCUUGGAAGCUGAGGAGCCCCAGGAGACAUUUGCAGUGGUAGAUGACAAAUCAAGGUCAGCAUGAAACACCAAGUGACCUGGGAUGGGACCAGCGUACUUUCAAAAGGAGAAGCAGCCUAUGAGAAAACAGCUUUUCCUCAGCAGCAUCUCCCUUGCAAAUGCUCCUUGUUCCACAUCCAGAAGUUUGCCAGAGCUGGUUGCAGGUCUGCUCCCAGGAGCACUUCUCCACCAGUGCUGGUGUGGGGACAAGAAAGAAUCCAAACUGACUGCUUGAGGAGGAAGGUCCAAUGCAAAGUUGACAGUACUACCGAUACCUAUGGUCAAUUUUAGGAUGGGGAGGAAUGGUCUCAAGUUGCACCACGUUGGUUCAGGUUGGAUAUUAGGAGAAAUUGCUUCUCACAGAGAAUGGUGCUGCAGUGGUCCAGCUAAACCAUGGAGGUGGUGGGAUUACCAUCCCUGGAGGUAUUCAAGGAACCUGGAGAUGUGGCACUGAGUGAUGUGGGCAUGGUGGGGGUGGGCUGGUCUUGAGCUUGGGGAUCUUUAGAGGUCUUUCCCAACCUUAAUGGUUCUGUGACUCUAUGAUUUUUGGCUGAAUGUCCAACUCCUCCACAAGGAGCAGGUGACCUGCUUAUCUCUUUCCAGACUCUUCUCAUCUUGAAGAAAAGAGAACGCAAGAAAGUUGUUUGGUGAGGGCUGUCUUCAAAAGUGCCUCUCCUACAGCAUUUCCCAGUUGAUCUCAGAAGGACUUAACAACAUUAACUCAUUAAAGAUGACAGCACCCUGGGGGUGUUAAAGCCAAUGGGGCAUCCCAUCAAUCCCAUUUCCAUGGCACUGCAGGUGAUGGGGGCAGGGGAAGGAGCUACAGAGCAGUGUUUUUUCCUUCUCUGUGGUUUUCUCUUUAACAAGGCAGCUCAUGGCCACUGCAGAAGUUUUCUGUUGGUGCUGCACAUUGCACUGCUGUAGCUUUUUGUGCAUGGGUGAUAAAAACACCCACCGUCUCGCAACUCAUUAGCUCUCCUCUGGCAGCAUUAGUGGUUAACAGCAUAAUUAGCUUCAGUGGUAAAAGGAGAUUUUGUGGACCCAGGGGAGAGACUGUUAGUCUUCUGGCAUUUCAGGCAACAGCAAAAGUAGCAAAUUGCUUGUUAGGGGCAACAGCAGAAAUAUUUGCAUGCUGUUAAGCAACUUAUGACUAUAACACUGGCCUGAGGUAGCUUUAUUUGGGGAGAUGGAGUAAAGAAGUGGAGUGAUCUUAACGUCAUGAAAUAUCAUGUAAUCUCAAUGAGCAGAUAGAAAAUGUCCACCAGGAUGCCUGUGUUCAUUUCUGCUUCUGGGUGGUUUGUUACUCUGUGGAUAUCUGCAGGACACAGUGCUUGGGCUCAGCACUGACUCAUCUCCCUCCUGCAGGAAGAGACUGAUUCUGUAAUAAAGAUAAAGAUGUGCCACUGCUGGAUGUGUGC
ensembl:lncRNA